rnacentral:rRNA from 1 species
AUUGAACGCUGGCGGCAGGCCUAACACAUGCAAGUCGAACGAGUGGCGGACGGGUGAGUAAUGUCUGGAAAACUGCCCGAUGGAGGGGGAAAACUACUGGAAACGGUAGCUAAUACCGCAUACCAGCGGAUGUGCCCAGAUGGGAUUAGCUAGUAGGUGGGGUAAAGGCUAACCUAGGCGACGAUCCCUAGCUGGUCUGAGAGGUUGACCCGCCACACUGGCACUGAGACACGGUCCAGACUCCUACGGGAGGCAGCAGUGGGGAAUAUUGCACAAUGGGCGCAAGCCUGCUGCAGCCAUGCCGCGUGUAUGAAGAAGGCCUUCGGGUUUUAAAGUACUUUCAGCGGGGAGGCGUUACCCGCAGAAGAAGCACCGGCUAACUCCGUGCCAGCCGCCGCGGUAAUAC